rnacentral:rRNA from 1 species
GAUGAACGCUGGCGGCGUGCCUAAUACAUGCAAGUCGAGCGAACAGAUGAGGAGCUUGCGCCUCUGACGGUAGCGGCGGACGGGUGAGUAACACGUGGUUAACCUACCUAUAAGACUGGGAUAACUUCGGGAAACCGGAGCUAAUACCGGAUAAUAUAUUGAACUUCGUUGUUCAAUAGUGAAAGAAGGUUUUGCUGUGACUUAUAGAUGAAUACGCGCCGCAUUAGCUAGUUGGUAAGGUAGCGGCUUAGCAAGGCUACGAUGGGUAGCCGACCUGAGAGGGAGGUCGGCCAGACUGGAAGUGAGGAACAGCCGCCACUCCUGCGCGAGGCAGCAGUCGGGACUCUUACGCGAGGCAGCAGAGCCUAACAGAGCAACGCCGCGUGAGUGAUGAAGGUCUUCGGCUCGUAAAACUCUGUUAUUCGGAGAGUACAAAAGUUUAAGUACCUAUGAACAUAUUGACGGUACCUAAAGAAAAAGCCACGGCUAACUACGUG